rnacentral:misc_RNA from 1 species
AACUUUUGACAACGGAUCUCUUGGCUCUCGCAUCGAUGAAGAACGCAGCGAAAUGCGAUACGUAAUGUGAAUUGCAGAAUUCAGUCAAUCAUCGAAUCUUUGAACGCACCUUGCGCCCCUUGGCAUUCCGAGGGGCACACCCGUUUGAGUGUCGUGAACAUCCUCAACCUGCUUGUUUUUUAUCGAACCAAGUAGGCUUGGAAUUUGGAGGUUUUCUGCUGGCCUCCUCCGAAGCCAGCUCCUCUUAAAUCUAUUAGUGGGACCCGAUUUGCUAGAUCAUCGACGUUGAUAAGAUGGUUCUAAGUCUUGGGUUUCGCUCGGGAAAGGACCUGCUUCUAAACGUCCCAUCGGGGACAACGUUCGAGCCUAUCGCCCUUCACGGGGUGAAGCUUUUUCGACCCAUGAAACCUUGACCUCAAAUCGGGUGAGAAUACCCGCUGAACGUAAGUAUAUCAAAAAUCCGAGGCU